rnacentral:lncRNA from 1 species
CAGGAUGAAUGGUAACAUAUUGCUGAGCCCAGCAAGCAGAUGAUGUCACUUUCCUCUCCUGCCUGGAAUCUGCUCAGCGGGGGAGAGUUGCAUAUCGCUGGGCCCAGCACCUAUAACAUGAAGGGAUUGCUAAAAUUUAAGGUGGGAUUGUGACAUACCUAGGCCUAGCUCACAGGUGUGAUGAUGACUGUCAUAUGUGGACCCAACCAACAGAAAAGAUUUUGACUCUCAUGGCUAGAAUUAGGGGAAUAGGGAAUGAAAAUGCCCUUGAAGAGUAAAAAUAAAGUGACUGCUGAUUAAGCAGAGUUUCACAUGAAAAAAGCCAAUGGAUGAAAAAACUGAUGAAGAGAAGACACAUUUGGUUCUUACUUACACUUCACUUCCACUCACUAUUUGUCAGUGUGGAUAGAGCUGAGAACAGCAGUUUCCUGGCAGGACAGCCACUUGUCAG